AUUUGAAAGCUGGCGUCUUCGACGUCCGCGUUGUAAUUUGUAGAGGAUGCUUCGGCGAAGACUCCUGCCUAAGUCCCCUGGAACGGGGCGUCAUAGAGGGUGAGAAUCCCGUAUGUGGCGGGCAGUCUAAGCCAUGUGAAGCUCCUUCGACGAGUCGAGUUGUUUGGGAAUGCAGCUCUAAAUGGGAGGUAAAUUUCUUCUAAAGCUAAAUAUUGGCCAGAGACCGAUAGCGCACAAGUAGAGUGAUCGAAAGAUGAAAAGCACUUUGGAAAGAGAGUUAAAAAGUACGUGAAAUUGUUGAAAGGGAAGCGCUUGCAACCAGACUCGCUCGUAGUUGCUCAGCCGGCCUCUUGGCCGGUGUACUCUUCUACGAUCGGGCCAGCAUCAGUUCGGGCGGCAGGAUAAAGGUGUCGGGAAUGUAGCACCCUUCGGGGUGUGUUAUAGCCCGGCGCGGAAUGCUGCCAGCCUG
rnacentral:rRNA from 1 species